rnacentral:rRNA from 1 species
UCGGGAAUUUUGGGCAAUGGGCGAAAGCCUGACCCAGCAACGCCGCGUGAAGGAUGAAGUAUUUCGGUAUGUAAACUUCGUAAGAAUAGGAAGAAUAAAUGACGGUACUAUUUGUAAGGUCCGGCUAACUACGUGCCAGCAGCCGCGGUAAUACGUAGGGACCAAGCGUUGUUCGGAUUUACUGGGCGUAAAGGGCGCGUAGGCGGUUUGUCAAGUCAGUUGUGAAAUCUCCGAGCUUAACUCGGAACGGUCAACUGAUACUGUCAAACUAGAGUACAGAAGGGGCAAUCGGAAUUCUUGGUGUAGCGGUGAAAUGCGUAGAUAUCAAGAGGAACACCUGAGGCGAAGGCGGGUUGCUGGGCUGAUACUGACGCUGAAGCGCGAAAGCCAGGGGAGCAAACGGGAUUAGAUACCCUAGUAGUCCCUGAGCGGGCUGGCAAGGCGCAU